AUUGAACGCUGGCGGCAGGCUUAACACAUGCAAGUCGAGCGGAGUGAUGGUGCUUGCACUAUCACUUAGCGGCGGACGGGUGAGUAAUGCUUAGGAAUCUGCCAUUUAGUGGGGGACAACAUUCCGAAAGGAGUGCUAAUACCGCAUACGUCCUACGGGAGAAAGCAGGGGAUCUUCGGACCUUGCGCUAAAUGAUGAGCCUAAGUCGGAUUAGCUAGUUGGUGGGGUAAAGGCCUACCAAGGCGACGAUCUGUAGCGGGUCUGAGAGGAUGAUCCGCCACGCUGGGACUGGAACACGGCCCAGACUCCUACGGGAGGCAGCAGUGGGGAAUAUUGGACAAUGGGCGGAAGCCUGAUCCAGCCAUGCCGCGUGUGUGAAGAAGGCCUUUUGGUUGUAAAGCACUUUAAGCGAGGAGGAGGCUACUAAUACUAAUACUACUGGAUAGUGGACGUUACUCGCAGAAUAAGCACCGGCUAACUCUGUGCCAGCCGCCGCUGUAAUAC
rnacentral:rRNA from 1 species